rnacentral:rRNA from 1 species
UACGGGGGGGGCAAGCGUUGUUCGGAAUUACUGGGCGUAAAGCGUGCGCAGGCGGUUAUGUAAGACAGAUGUGAAAGCCCCGGGCUCAACCUGGGAAUGGCAUUUGGGACUGCAAGGCUUGAGUGCGGCAGAGGAGACUGGAAUUCCUGGUGUAGCAGUGAAAUGCGUAGAUAUCAGGAGGAAUACCGAUGGCGAAGGCAGGUCUCUGGGCUGACACUGACGCUCAUGCACGAAAGCGUGGGGAGCAAACAGG